rfam:Anisakis simplex genome assembly, scaffold: ASIM_scaffold0001316
CCAACGGCCCUCUUUAGGGCCAAUAAAAUCAUAAACCAAAACAUAU